AUCCAGCCGACGGAUCCUAAAUAGGAUGAAAAGCGCUUCGUGGAU
rnacentral:hammerhead_ribozyme from 1 species